UGCCAUGCAACCACACCUCUCUCCUUUCUCUUCUUGGUGUGUCUAUAUCAGAAGGCUGCAGUAGAGUACCUACUCACAUGGCUAGCAGAGAGACAUCUGAAGGCUGAGGUGGACUGAACCUUAAUGAACAAGUGAUUGUCCACUAGCUCGCCCGAGUACAAACCCCCAACACGGCGACUGCAAUUCACAGAAAUGAUUUUUCUCAGGCUCUAGGGAACAACAGAUAAGAGAUACACGUUUUCCUUUUGAACAGUCCUUUCAUUGUAUUGUGAGUCAUGGCAGGGUGGAGACCAGCCACCCUCCUCCUUUUCCUCUUGGGAUUCCUCUUCCUUUGUGAUGCCUCUAUGCACCUCCCUGGCCAGCGGCUAAGGUCACGUUUGCAGAGGGAGAGACGCAACAUUCGCCCAAAUAUUAUCCUCAUUCUCACUGAUGACCAGGACAUAGAGCUUGGCUCUAUGCUGGCCAUGAACAAGACGAAGCGUAUAAUGAUUCAGGGAGGCACCCACUUCUCCAAUGCAUUUUCCACAACUCCCAUGUGUUGCCCAUCUCGGUCCUCCAUUCUGACUGGAAAAUAUGUGCACAACCACCAUACCUACACCAACAAUGAGAACUGUUCAUCUCCUUCAUGGCAGGCCCAUCAUGAGCCUCACACUUUUGCUGUACACCUUAACAAUUCAGGCUACAGAACUGCUUUCUUUGGAAAGUAUUUGAAUGAGUAUAAUGGCACUUAUGUGCCACCUGGCUGGAGAGAAUGGGUAGCACUUGUGAAGAACUCUCGCUUCUACAACUACACUCUGUGCAGGAAUGGAGUCCGUGAGAAGCAUGGCAUGGAGUACUCCAAGGACUACCUCACAGAUCUAAUCACAAACAACAGCAUCAACUACUUUCGGAUGUCCAAAAGACUGUAUCCCCACCGGCCUGUAAUGAUGGUCCUGAGCCAUGUUGCCCCUCAUGGCCCAGAGGAUGCAGCACCUCAGUACAGCACAACCUUCUCAAAUGCCUCCCAGCACAUCACCCCAAGCUAUAAUUAUGCCCCCAACCCAGACAAACAUUGGAUUCUGCGCUACACUGGCCCUAUGAAGCCCGUUCACAUGCAGUUCACCAACUUGCUGCAGAGGAGGAGACUACAGACCCUGUUGUCAGUGGAUGACAGUGUGGAAAAGGUAUACAAUAUGCUGGUGGAGAUUGGUGAACUGGACAACACUUACAUUAUCUACAUGUCUGACCACGGCUACCACAUUGGCCAGUUUGGCCUUGUCAAAGGAAAGUCCAUGCCCUAUGAGUUUGACAUCCGUGUGCCUUUUUACAUACGAGGGCCCAAUGUGGAAGCAGGUGCCAUUAACUCCCACAUAGUUCUCAAUGUUGACUUAGCUCCCACACUACUUGAUAUGGCUGGAGUAGACAUCCCUGUGGACAUGGAUGGAAAAUCUAUUCUGAAACUGUUGGACACUGAGAGACCAAUUAACAGGUUUCAGUUUAACAAGAAGGGGAAAGUAUGGAGAGACUCUUUUCUGGUAGAGAGAGGGAAGCUUUUGCAUAAGCUGUCAGAUGUAAAGGAGGAGAUGCAGGAGAACGCUCUGCCAAAGUACCAGCGAGUUAGAGAUCUCUGUCAGAAAGCAGAAUAUCAGACUCCCUGUGAGCAACCGGGACAGAAGUGGCAGUGUAUGGAGGACCCCUCAGGCAUGCUGAGGUUGUAUAAGUGUAAGAGCAUGGCAGGUCUCUAUGCCCCCCGUGCUCAGGACCUGAUGUCCGGUAAUGCUCAAUUGUACCAGCGUGGAUUACCUUCACAGCAUUGCGACUGUGAGUCUGCUGUGCCUUUCAAGAGAAAGAAGAUGCUCACCAAGAGGAAACUAAAGCCAAAAAAGAGUUCGUCUCGGAAUCGCUGGGCCCGGGCACUCCCACCUCACUUGGACAGCAUUGUUUACACUUUGGAUCUGGAAGAGGGCUACCGGCCCAUCACACCGAAGAAUAUCAGUCACACACUGGACAGAAAACAGGCCACUUAUGAAGGCAUUGAAGAGUUCAGCGGAAUGGAACCAACAGACAACAACCUCAUGGUGCCUGCAGCCCUUAAAGUUACCUACAGGUGUUCAAUACUGAUAAAUGACACAGUGAAAUGUGACGGUGGACUAUACAAAUCACUACAGGCUUGGAAAGACCACAAACUACAUAUUGAGCAUGAGAUUGAGACUCUACAGACCAAGAUAAAGAACCUGAGAGAGGUCAAAAGUCAUCUGAAAAAGGUUCGGCCAAAAGAGUGUGAAUGCAACCAUAAAAUUUAUCAGUACAAGAACAUAUCACUCAGACUCAAGUCAGAGCACAUGCAUUCUCUAAGUAGACUGGCGUCUAAAGAUAAGAAGCAGUGGCUGCUGAAGGAACAGAAGCGCAGGAAGAAGCUGCGGAAGAUGCUUAAGCGUCUCCGGAACAAUGACACCUGCAGCAUGCCUGGCCUUACCUGUUUCACCCACAAUAACCAGCACUGGCAGACUGCCCCCUUCUGGACAAUGGGGCCAUUCUGUGCCUGUACCAGUGCCAACAAUAACACCUACUGGUGUCUAAGGACCAUUAAUGACACCCACAACUUCUUGUUCUGUGAGUUUGCCACUGGAUUCCUGGAGUAUUUUGACCUCAAUACGGACCCUUAUCAGCUGAUAAAUGCAGUUGGUUCAUUGGAUCGCAAUGCACUCAACUACAUGCAUCUGCAGCUCAUGAAGCUGCGCAGCUGCAAAGGUCAGAAGCAGUGCAGCCCUGAUACAGGGCCAAAAGAACAAAACAGCUUCAAUGAUUACAGGAAAAUGAUUGUGUUAGGAAAUUGAUCACAUACUACAAAUGUAGCAUAUAGAGAUUAUAUAGUAAAAAAACAGACAUAUUCCAUUAAUGACGUAGAAGACUGCAUAUACAGUUACUGAUCUUGAGUUGAGUUUGCUACAUGAGCUUUUUAAACCCAACAGGCUGUGGGGCCCCUUCAUCGUCGAAAGAGGCCAAGAAUGAAGAAACCUUCCUCAAAAUCAAUGGGACAGAUCUGGGAAGGCUGGGUGGGCUAAAUGUGGCCAGAUCCCAUUAAGGAAAGACAGAAGCAGAGGACAUGAAGACCUGGGGAUCCUUUGCAAAUAGAAAACGCUUUAAUCUACUUCAACAAAACGUGGAAUACGUGGAAGCCAUCUCACAGUGACAGUGCUCUCUCUCUCUCUCUCUCUCGCUCUCUCACACACACACUCUCUCACUCUCUCUCUCUUUCUUUCUUCCUCUCUUUCACUCUCUGGCAACCUACUUACUGAUUGCUUCUGUUAAAAUACUUUUCCAUCACCUUUGACAAAUAUUAUUAUAAACUUUGAACUUUAAGUACUUUUGGAACUCAAAAAAUGGUCAAAUUUUCUUGUAUCACCUUUGGAGAAGAAGAAUCAAGAACCAUUUUCUAUUAAUUGUCACAUUUCCAUCUGUGACAGAAGUGUGUGCUGGACCCCAACAGACAUCUUCAGCUUGGCCUACCACUCAACUCUUUAUAAUCAUGAUUUUCUGGCUUUUCAUCAUCCACAAGGCUAAAAGGCACAUCUCACAUUAUAUAUCUGUUCAGACAAAAGGCAUCUUGGUGAAGCUUCAGACCACAGAGCUUCAGCUGUUACUUCUAAAUGAGUUUGUGUUAUGCAGACACGUUUAUUUCUCAUCAUAGUUGGUGCUUUUGCAGUUACCAUGGGAUGGUGCUAUGAAUGUUCUCACAGACUUUUUAUCAAACGAUUGUGAUAAUGAUUACACUUCUGCUUUUGUCCAAAGGUUUAUAAACACCUGCUCAUUAAACAUUUUUGGAAAUCGAGAAUUUUUCCUCCCUCUGCUGCUAUAACAGUCUCUAGUCUUCUGGCAGUGCUUUGUUACAUGUUGGAACAUUGGUGUGAGGAUUUUAUUGCACUCAAUUGUCAGGUACUGAUAUUGGAUCAUUAGUUCUGAAUUGUAAAUUGCACUCCAACUAAUCUCAAAGGUGUCUGAUGGUGCUCUCUCACUCCAAAGAAUACAAUUUCACUACAUCAUCAGUCUAAGGCUUUGUACCUCAGAAUGAAUGUUUUGCAUUGGAUUUGGUGACCUCAGGGCCAUGUGCAGUGGCUCUCAAGUAUCCAAUUCUACUUUCAGUGCUUUUCAGUGGAGAUUAUACAAGUACUUGAAAGCCUGUGUCAGCAAUGGGUUGCACCUUAAAGUAGUUGAAUACACUAAUUAGAUGGGGUGUCUACAAAUCUUUGGACAUAAAGUGUAUGAAUGCUGAAAAUGAAUUCAUUCUCUCUGAGCUGCUUGAACCAUAUAGCUGACUUCAUAUUACAUACCAUAUUCUGUUCAAAUGUAUGACCUUCUAGCUAUAUGAUUCUGCUUAUUGAUUUUUUUUUGUGAAUUGUUGUGCUACUGUAACUGGAUCUGAAUGAUGAGUUGUACAUAUUUAAAUGAAAAUAUGUAUUCAUUUAAUUAAUGAAAAAGGAAUUUGAAAGCACAAGUAACAUAAGCCUACUAAACUGUUCACUUAUAUGUUAAUAUAAAAUGACUAAAAUGUUGUUCACUGACCAAGAACAAUUUUUACUUUGUGUUAUGUUAUGUGAAUCACUGACAGCUGAGUGUAUGAGUGUUUGGUAGUUUGUGAAUAAAGUGCACUGUCCACUCA